GGUGUGGAAAAGCUGGGCACCGAGAAUUGGGGGUGGGUGAAGGAACCCAUGGCGGGAGGGUGGAGACGCGAGGGUGACCAGCAUGGCAGGCCGGGUGUGGGGGGAGAGCGGGCACCGGGUGUGUGGGGGUGGAAGGCUGGAACAGGUGGAGGGGGCGCCAGGUGCUCCGGAAAGGAGCGCUCUGUACUGGGGCGCCGGCCGGUGGUAGCGGCGGUGGCCUGGGUUUCGCUACCACCGCGGACUGCGGCUCCUCUCCCACCUUCGGCCAGAGCCCCCUGAGCCACCAUCCCCGGGGAGACGGCUGCCCCUUUCCCCAAUCCAACAGCGGUGCGGCGGCCGCCGAACCUCGGCCCCGGGAGGACGUCCUUGUGACAGCUUGUUGGGGCCGAAGGGCCGUGAUCCUACACACUUAAGGCCCAAGGGCCCCAGGGUGCCCUCCGCCCUGCCCCCAGGAUACGUGCGUCCCCUCUUUUGUCUCCGCCAAGGGCCGCUCGCUCCCUUUCUCUGUGGCUGCGGCAUCCGGGGACCGGGCCACCUCGGGGCCUCCACCGCCCUGCCCGACCCUGUCCAAGAGUCCACAGCUCUCCGGCUGGUACCCAGGACCCCUCCUCCCGCGGCUUUUGUUCCUUGGGAGCCUGUGGGUUGGGUGUGGCUGGCUGGCCGCGCAGGGUGGACGGUCCAGCGAUCAGAAGAGGGUGGGGUUCGGAGGCGGGGCUGCGGCAGAACAAAGACCUGGAAAACGUGUGGGCCACCUCCCACGACCGAGCGUUUGACAGUCACCCUGGGUUCCGUUCAUCUUUUGUCCACUAAGGGGACGGGUCCCCAGACGCCCCCUGCCCCACCGCUGACAUUCUCAUCAUCCACCAGGCGCCGGAAGCCGAGGCGGCCACGAGGUCCCCAAUCUUGGUGCUGCCCAUGCGGGCGAGGGGCCCGCCUGGAGACUGCAGCACGGGCGGGCGGGGGCCGCGCGCGACCCUGACGGUCCAUGGCGCGAGUGCGCGGACGCGGCCCCGACACGCCUUCAAACCUACAAUUUCUAGGGAGUCCAAGAAGGAGCAGAUCUCUUUGUUACUUUUCGUGUGUGUGUGUGUGUGUGUGUGUGUGUGUGUGUAAGUGUAAGAGAGAGCGCGCUGGAACCUGGUCCCCGCAAUUCCGUGG
ensembl:lncRNA